rnacentral:rRNA from 1 species
GACGAAGGGGGCUAGCGUUGUUCGGAAUUACUGGGCGUAAAGCGCGUGUAGGCGGUUAUCCAAGUCGGGUGUGAAAGCCUUGAGCUCAACUCAAGAAAUGCACUCGGUACUGGGUGACUAGAGGACCGGAGAGGAUAGUGGAAUUCCCAGUGUAGUGGUGAAAUACGUAGAGAUUGGGAAGAACACCAGUGGCGAAGGCGGCUAUCUGGACGGUUUCUGACGCUAAGGCGCGAAAGCGUGGGGAGCAAACAGG